rnacentral:misc_RNA from 1 species
AUAAGCCAACUCAUUUGAAUGUACUUGCACAACAUUUAGAUCUCCUGAUGAAAACGCUGAUCUAAUGAGAUCACCACACCAGCAGUAUGAAAGGACAUGAACAUCAGUUUUUGAAUUUUCAUUUCUCACAAUCUUUUGGAAAAAUCCUCUACAGCCAUCUUGAAAAAUAAGUUGUUGACCAGCUCGUUUUAUAUCCUGGACACUUAAACCCUUCAACACUCCUGUCUGAAUCACUCUUGAAUUUGCCCUUUUCUCAAAGUCAGCAAGUUGUUCAAGAGCCUUACUCAGACCUUCAUAAUUAAAAUUUCCAACUCUUUCACUAGACAUGAUGCUAUCUAUGCAUUGAUCAUGUUCUUCCACAUACUGGGCUGAAAGAACACCCCACGUUUUCCUCAAAUCAGCUGAUGACAUCCGAGUGAGUUUGGUUUCAGAUCCACCAAGAUCCACCCUUGGUGCUGUUAUUAUUGCAAUUUCAGCUAAAAAGGCAGAGGAAUCAACAGCAGUGCAUGUCAUGUCAAAAUCACAAAAUACAGUGAGGUGGAAAUCAGCAGGGCCUUGCACCCCUGACAAAGGCACUAUUGUUUGCUGGACAAUUGGUUGAGCAGACAAAAAAUCCACUUUGAGUUUCACAGCUUGAAGAUAUAGCUUUUCUAGGACCUCAAGUUCUUCGUUUGUCAAAGAGAUGCUUAGUUUAUCCAGCACUUCUUCUAUUUGCUGAGUUGAUACCUCAAAGUUUUCAGAACAAUAAUUAUCUACCCACUUCCUGUAAAUAUGACUGCUAUCCUCUGGAUCAAGAAGAUGAUGUAUCUCUUUACAUAUAGAGGCAUAUAGUCUGAUGCAUGGUGCCAUGGCACCAAGUGUGUAAGCAGCCAGUUUUAUCCUCUCAAAAGGAGUUGCAAUUUUACCAGGAACUUUUUCUCCUUCAACUUUUCCCGAAGCUGUUGCCAGCAAGAAAUCUGCAUAUUUGGCAGUGGCAACAAUGGAAGUACUCUCUGGGGGAAGUUCAAAGCCCCAUUCACGGACAAUAGUUUCGUAAUUUUUAAGCCUGUCUUUGACGCGUUCUCUCAACUUGCGAAUCGCGCUUUUGUCUUCAUCAUCAUCAGCGCAUUCUUCAGCUAGUUCGUAUGCCUGA